rnacentral:rRNA from 1 species
CAGUGGAGAAUUUUGGACAAUGGGGGCAACCCUGAUCCAGCCAUGCCGCGUGAGUGAAGAAGGCCUUCGGGGUUGUAAAGCUCUUUCAGACGGAAAGAAAACGCACAGGUUAAUACCUUGCGUGGAUGACGGUACCGUGAGAAGAAGCACCGGCUAACUACGUGCCAGCAGCCGCGGUAAUA